rnacentral:lncRNA from 1 species
CCCUCCUCCUGCACCAAAACUCAAUUAUUUACGCGCGCAUCCAGGUUGUGCAAGUGCAAUUAUUGUUUGCUCAAAUUAAGAUUAAUUUAGUAAAAAGUCCAGAAAUACAUUGCUCACAAGUUGUGUGAACUUUCGGUCUAAUUUCCCAGACGCGUUCCUAGAUUGCAAUGUAUGUCCACUGUUGAGUAUGUUUGUGUGUGUGUGUGUGUGUGUGUAAUUGCGUGUGCGCGCGCUUGCAGACAACGGUUAUUGAGAACAGAUUGCGCAGUGCUUCACCCUCAAACUCCAUGAUGAACUGAUUACUGAGAAUCCCGAAACGAAGGCAUAACCGUUACCACCUAGCGUACAAUAUGUAGGCACUUCUUACAAUUUUUAAUUGAUGACUCUGCAGGGUCUACAAUAACGAAUUGAUUUGUUCUAAAUGAAUUCACUCUUGCAUUGUCUAGCAGCUGGAAUAGACACACUGACUUGUGCUGGGAGAGAGACGGAAGUUGGCACCUGCUUGCACAUUCAAUCUCUCAUUUCAGGGUUCGCGUUGCGAAAAUGUGCUGUAGUCUCGUGAGGAAAGGAUCCAUUCGCUUCCCACUCGGUGAAACAAACGCGACUGGGAGAGCGCACAUUCGAAAACCAGCCGGGUUGUGAGGAAGGAAGCUCAAGGGAGGGUGGCUUGGUUACACUGUGACCCUGAACGAAAGAUUUUUCCUGCUGUCGCCAAGUAACUAGGUCUCGCGGUUCCUACAUGUCGUUAUAAACGCACCUGCUAAUCAAUGUGAAAAAACCCUACCAUGCACGGCGCGGGAUAACAAUGCACCGUGCCUAAAAUCUCUAGAUGCCUAAAGCCACAACCACAACCACUGUUGAGUACUACUCAAAGUCUGCCGCUGUCUGCUCUGUCCAUUUCCGUCGGGGCUGAACACGUUGGGCAAACAGCAUCACCAUUAAUUCGUGAACCCACUUGGGAGACGGAGGGAAGUAACUAAGCAUAUUAAUGACGUGGUACGCUGCCCCUGGAUAUGAACCUCCGUUAACCUCGGCAGAAAAGCUGAUGUAAUUGUGUUCAGUUAGCGCCCAAAAUUAUGAAUAAGUUGUUAGUUUACAACUUCGGACAUUUUAAGACGUUCGCAAUUUGGUGAGGGAGAAACUGCUGCACCCGAUUCCUAUGACA